rnacentral:rRNA from 1 species
CUCAAAGGAAUUGACGGGGACCCGCACAAGCGGUGGAUGAUGUGGUUUAAUUCGAUGCAACGCGAAAAACCUUACCCACCUUUGACAUGUACGGAAGUUGCCAGAGAUGGCUUCGUGCUCGAAAGAGAGCCGUAACACAGGUGCUGCAUGGCUGUCGUCAGCUCGUGUCGUGAGAUGUUGGGUUAAGUCCCGCAACGAGCGCAACCCUUGUCAUUAGUUGCUACGAAAGGGCACUCUAAUGAGACUGCCGGUGACAAACCGGAGGAAGGUGGGGAUGACGUCAAGUCCUCAUGGCCCUUAUAGGUGGGGCUACACACGUCAUACAAUGGCUGGUACAAAGGGUUGCCAACCCGCGAGGGGGAGCCAAUCCCAUAAAGCCAGUCGUAGUCCGGAUCGCAGUCUGCAACUCGACUGCGUGAAGUCGGAAUCGCUAGUAAUCGUGGAUCAGCAUGUCACGGUGAAUACGUUCCCGGGUCUUGUACACACCGCCCGUCACACCAUGGGAGCGGGUCUCGCCA